CACGUAGGGUGCGAGCGUUGUCCGGAAUUAUUGGGCGUAAAGAGCUCGUAGGCGGUGUGUCGCGUCGGCCGUGAAAACCUGCAGCUUAACUGUGGGCUUGCGGUCGAUACGGGCAUCACUGGAGUUCGGCAGGGGAGACUGGAAUUCCUGGUGUAGCGGUGAAAUGCGCAGAUAUCAGGAAGAACACCCGUGGCUAAGGCGGCUCUCUAGUACGGUACUGACGCUGAGACGCGAAAGCGUGGGGAGCAAACAGG
rnacentral:rRNA from 1 species